rnacentral:rRNA from 1 species
AUUGAACGCUGGCGGCAUGCCUUACACAUGCAAGUCGAACGGUAACGGGCCUUCGGGUGCCGACGAGUGGCGCACGGGUGCGUAAUACAUCGGAACGUGCCCGAUCGUGGGGGUUAACGAGGCGAAAGCUUUGCUAAUACCCCAUACGAUCUACGGAUGAAAGCAGGGGAACGCAAGGCCUUGUGCGGACGGAGCGGCCGAUGGCAGAUUAGGUAGUUGGUGGGAUAAAAGCUUACCAAGCCGACGAUCUGUAGCUGGUCUGAGAGGAUGAUCAGCCACACUGGGACUGAGACACGGCCCAGACUCCUACGGGAGGCAGCAGUGGGGAAUUUUGGACAAUGGGCGCAAGCCUGAUCCAGCCAUGCCGCGUGCAGGAUGAAGGCCUUCGGGUUGUAAACUGCUUUUGUACGGAACGAAAAGCCUUCUUUUAAUACAGGAGGGUCAUGACGGUACCGUAAGAAUAAGCACCGGCUAACUACGUG